UACGAGGGGGGCAAGCGUUGUUCGGAAUUAUUGGGCGUAAAGGGCGCGUAGGCGGUGCGGUAAGUCUGAUGUGAAAUCUCCGGGCUCAACUCGGAGUCUGCAUCAGAAACUGCCGUGCUCGAGUGUGGGAGAGGUGAGUGGAAUUCCCGGUGUAGCGGCGAAAUGCGUAGAUAUCGGGAGGAACACCUGUGGCGAAAGCGGCUCACUGGACCACAACUGACGCUGAUGCACGAAAGCUAGGGGAGCAAACAGG
rnacentral:rRNA from 1 species